GGACCCGCACAAGCGGUGGAGCAUGUGGUUUAAUUCGAAGCAACGCGAAGAACCUUACCAAGUCUUGACAUCCUCUUGACCGGUCCGUAACGGGACCUUCCCUUCGGGGCAAGAGAGACAGGUGGUGCAUGGUUGUCGUCAGCUCGUGUCGUGAGAUGUUGGGUUAAGUCCCGCAACGAGCGCAACCCUUAUUCUUAGUAGCCAGCAUUUAAGGUGGGCACUCUAGGGAGACUGCCAGGGAUAACCUGGAGGAAGGUGGGGAUGACGUCAAAUCAUCAUGCCCCUUAUGAUUUGGGCUACACACGUGCUACAAUGGCGUAAACAAAGGGAGGCGAAGCCGCGAGGUGGAGCAAAUCUCAAAAAUAACGUCUCAGUUCGGAUUGUAGUCUGCAACUCGACUACAUGAAGCUGGAAUCGCUAGUAAUCGCGAAUCAGAAUGUCG
rnacentral:rRNA from 1 species